rnacentral:rRNA from 4 species
AAACUUUCAACAAUGGAUCUCUUGGUUCCGGCAUCGAUGAAGAACGCAGCGAAAUGCGAUAACUAAUGUGAAUUGCAGAAUUCAGUGAAUCAUCGAGUCUUUGAACGCACAUUGCGCCCCCUGGUAUUCCGGGGGGCAUGCCUGUCCGAGCGUCAUUGC